GAUCCUGGCUCAGAUUGAACGCUGGCGGCAGGCUUAACACAUGCAAGUCGAACGAUGACUCUCUAGCUUGCUAGAGAAGAUUAGUGGCGGACGGGUGAGUAACAUUUAGGAAUCUACCUAGUAGUGGGGGAUAGCUCGGGGAAACUCGAAUUAAUACCGCAUACGACCUACGGGUGAAAGGGGGCGCAAGCUCUUGCUAUUAGAUGAGCCUAAAUCAGAUUAGCUAGUUGGUGGGGUAAAGGCCC
rnacentral:rRNA from 1 species